rnacentral:rRNA from 1 species
AUUGAACGCUGGCGGCAUGCUUUACACAUGCAAGUCGAACGGCAGCACGGGAGCAAUCCUGGUGGCGAGUGGCGAACGGGUGAGUAAUACAUCGGAACGUGCCCAGUAGUGGGGGAUAGCCCGGCGAAAGCCGGAUGAAUACCGCAUACGACCUACGGGUGAAAGCGGGGGAUCGCAAGACCUCGCGCUAUUGGAGCGGCCGAUGUCAGAUUAGCUUGUUGGUGGGGUAAAAGCCUACCAAGGCAACGAUCUGUAGCUGGUCUGAGAGGGCGACCAGCCACACUGGGACUGAGACACGGCCCAGACUCCUACGGGAGGCAGCAGUGGGGAAUUUUGGACAAUGGGCGCAAGCCUGAUCCAGCCAUGCCGCGUGCGGGAAGAAGGCCUUCGGGUUGUAAACCGCUUUUGUCAGGGAAGAAACGGCCCCUUCUAAUACAGGGGGCUAAUGACGGUACCUGAAGAAUAAGCACCGGCUAACUACGUGCAGCCGCCGCCGUAA